rnacentral:rRNA from 1 species
AUUGAACGCUGGCGGCAGGCUUAACACAUGCAAGUCGAGCGGGGUGAUGGUGCUUGCACUAUCACUUAGCGGCGGACGGGUGAGUAAUGCUUAGGAAUCUGCCUAUUAGUGGGGGACAACAUCUCGAAAGGGAUGCUAAUACCGCAUACGUCCUACGGGAGAAAGCAGGGGAUCACUUGUGACCUUGCGCUAAUAGAUGAGCCUAAGUCGGAUUAGCUAGUUGGUGGGGUAAAGGCCUACCAAGGCGACGAUCUGUAGCGGGGCUGAGAGGAUGUACCGCCACACUGGGACUGAGACACGGCCCAGACUCCUACGGAGGCAGCAGUGGGGAAUAUUGGACAAGGGGGGGAACCCUGAUCCAGCCAUGCCGCGUGUGUGAAGAAGGCCUUAUGGUUGUAAAGCACUUUAAGCGAGGAGGAGGCUCUUUUGGUUAAUACCCAAGAUGAGUGGACGUUACUCGCAGAAUAAGCACCGGCUAACUCUGUGCCAGCCGCCGCCGUAA